rnacentral:rRNA from 1 species
CCUACGGGUGGCAGCAGUGGGGGAUAUUGCACAAUGGGGGAAACUCUGAUGCAGCGAUGCCGCGUGAAUGAAGACGGCCUUCGGGUUGUAAAGCUCUGUCGCAGGGGACGAAAAUGACGGUACCCUGCAAGAAAGCUCCGGCUAAUUACGUGCAAGCUGCCCUGGCAAUAUGUAGGGAGCAAGGGUAGUCCGGAAUUACUGGGGGUAAAGGGGGUGUAGGCGGGAGGAUAGGUUGAAUGUAAAAUCUAUGGGCUCAACCCAUAGCUGCGUUGAAAACUGUUCUUCUUGAGUGAAGUAGAGGCAGGCGGAAUUCCUGGUGUAGCGGUGAAAUGCGUAGAUAUUAGGAGGAACACCAGUGGCGAAGGCAGCCUGCUGGGCUUUAACUGACGCUGAGGCUCGAAAGCGUGGGUAGCAAACAGGAUUAGAUACCCGGGUAGUC